AUUGAACGCUGGCGGCAUGCCUUACACAUGCAAGUCGAACGGCAGCACGGGAGCAAUCCUGGUGGCGAGUGGCGAACGGGUGAGUAAUAUAUCGGAACGUGCCCAGUCGUGGGGGAUAACGUAGCGAAAGCUACGCUAAUACCGCAUACGAUCUAUGGAUGAAAGCGGGGGAUCGCAAGACCUCGCGCGAUUGGAGCGGCCGAUAUCAGAUUAGGUAGUUGGUGAGGUAAAGGCUCACCAAGCCGACGAUCUGUAGCUGGUCUGAGAGGACGACCAGCCACACUGGGACUGAGACACGGCCCAGACUCCUACGGGAGGCAGCAGUGGGGAAUUUGGACAAUGGGCGCAAGCCUGAUCCAGCAAUGCCGCGUGCAGGAUGAAGGCCUUCGGGUUGUAAACUGCUUUGUACGGAACGAAACGGUGAGCUCUAAUACAGUUUGCUAAUGACGGUACCGUAAGAAUAAGCACCGGCUAACUACGUG
rnacentral:rRNA from 1 species